rnacentral:rRNA from 1 species
AGUCGCCGCGGUAAUAUGUAGGGUGCGAGCGUUAAUCGGAAUUACUGGGCGUAAAGCGUGCGCAGGCGGUUCGUUAAGACAGAUGUGAAAUCCCCGGGCUUAACCUGGGAACUGCAUUUGUGACUGGCGAGCUAGAGUAUGGCAGAGGGGGGUAGAAUUCCACGUGUAGCAGUGAAAUGCGUAGAUAUGCGGAGGAACACCGAUGGCGAAGGCAGCCCCCUGGGCCAAUACUGACGCUCAUGCACGAAAGCGUGGGGAGCAAACAGGAUUAGAUACCCGGGUAGUCCCUGUCUCUUAUACA